rnacentral:rRNA from 1 species
UACGUAGGGUGCAAGCGUUGUCCGGAAUUAUUGGGCGUAAAGAGCUCGUAGGCGGCCUGUCGCGUCGGCUGUGAAAUCUCGGGGCUCAACUCCGAGCUUGCAGUCGAUACGGGCAGGCUAGAGUUCGGCAGGGGAGACUGGAAUUCCUGGUGUAGCGGUGAAAUGCGCAGAUAUCAGGAGGAACACCGGUGGCGAAGGCGGGUCUCUGGGCCUUACCUGACACUGAGGAGCGAAAGCGUGGGGAGCGAACAGG